rnacentral:lncRNA from 1 species
ACCGCGGCGGCUAUGGUUUAUUAUUGUAUAUUUUUCAUAAUAAAAAUUGUAAACAAUACGAAUAUAAACUAUACAGUUGGUCUUUUCAUUACGUUUUGCGGCGAGAGGGAAUCCAGUGCAACAAGAUUCAAUAUUUUUCUGAUUAUAUUAUACAUUAUGUCGGCCGGAACGACCCGAACGAUAAUGCUACUAUGUCCACAACGUAUGUACAAGACACGACAACGGCAGCUCCGAUCCGCAACAUUGACCGUUUGUUGCCGUUUCUCUCUAUCUUACGUCCGGUGAAUAGAUCAACGAAAAGAACCGAUUGGCCUUUCUAGGCCGCAGUUUUGCCACGAUAUUGUUUGUUUUGUAUCUGUCGGUGAAAGUUGAAAAGGACUCAAAAAAAUUCAAUCAUAUCUUAACGGUGGAUUGUUGUGGUACGACCUAAAGGUUUUUCUCGGCCAUUCUUGUGACUUAAAUUCGGUGAGUAGUAUUUUAUUACCAUUACCCAUAAUUGCUUUUUGAAGUAUAUAUCGUAUUAAACAAAAUGUUGUUGUACCUGUCACUUGUACCCAAAUGUGGAAUGAUACUGUUGAUAAUGUUCUAAAUGUUCCCCGCACUUUUCAGUUUGUUUGAUAAUGGUUUAUCAAUUAUUAUACAAUUUGGAUACCUAUCUCUUAAGUUUAAUUUUGUCUAAUAAAUGGUUUAAAUUUGUUUUCAUCAGAAACAAUUCUUUAAGGAUGUUGUUAUUUCAUUAAUUUGUAUUCUGUCUUGAGAUUUACAUUUUGUUACAUUUUUAAUAACUAGUGUCCAGUGAUUAACCAACUACAUGCAGUUGUAUAUUUAGUAGUUUAAAUAGAAAUGUUAAGAUUCAAUAUUUUUAAUUGUAAGUAGGUAAACUAUUACCUUAAUACCUAAAUUUAAUAAUACAUUUAGCAUUUUAAUGUGUACACAAAUACAAUAUUAAAAAUACUUUUCAUUUUCAAAAUAGUAAAAUAUAAAAACUAAAUAACCAAAUUUCAUUUAUUUUGUUAACAUAGGUAAAUUAUAAAUGCAUUUAUUUUAUAAUAUUAUAUUAGGUAUAUGUUUUUUUAAAAAAUUUACUCCAUAAAAACCUCCAUAUGUUCAAAAAUUGUACAUAAAAAAUAAAUUACCUUUAUUGUUCAAUUUGAAUUUCAUGUUUCCAAUAACUGAAUAGUAGUUACUUAAGUAUAUUAGUCUAAUGAAUCUAAUGACCUUGAAGUUUUUCUAUGACUACCUAUAUGAAUAUAAUUUUAAUAAGAUGUAUUACUCUAAAGAAUUAUAAUAUAAUAACCUUUAUAAUAUAGGUGCCUAAUACAUAUCAGUACUGCAUACAUCAUAAGUCACAAAAAGCAAAUCUGUAGUAUGAAAACUAUCAUGCUGGUCAUACAUUAAAUUAAAUUAAACUAAAUAUUCUUUUUAAAUUGAGCAGACCAAUGCUUAUUUUAAUUUUAGUUGUUGGAUUUUGAUUUUUUUGGUUUUUGAUAAUUUUUUUAACCAAAUAAUUAUGUAUUAUUGUUAAUAAAUGAGUUAUGUUUUAUGUAAAACUGAAAAUUAUAUAUUAAAACUAUAAAAGUAUUUAAUACACUAAGGUAUUAUAAUGAGUACCUAAGUGGGUUGUGGAUAAAAAUUGUACCCCAUUACCCCUGUUGAUUUGAAACUUGCCUCUCCUCCAAAGAACUGUGAUAAAUCUGUCACUGACAUUUAUUAUAUUUAACUGUAGUUUGACCAAACCAUUGAUGACCUACAUAUUUUUAAAAUUAAUAUAAUAUUGUACAUAUUUAAAUAAUUUGAACUCCUUCAAUCUAUGUAUUAAUAAUAUUUAUAAAUUAUAAAAGAAAAAUUAAGUUACUUAUGUAAAUAAAAAAGUGUUAGUAUUAUUUUUCCUAAAUAAAAUGCAUUAAAUAUUUUUAAAAAAGUAGUUAUAAAAAUGAUAAAAUUAAACAAAAUUAAAAAAUACAACUUAAAAAAAGAGCUUGAAAGGAUUAUAAAUAAUAUAAGAUUGUACUUCUCUCAUUUUAAGCAUCAUAUAUUUGUAUUUCUUUCAGUGUAUUUUUUGUCUUAAACAACUACCAUGUCUAGUUAUAAUGACUACCAACAUUGGCCUCAAGAAUCUGCUUCAAAUACAGAUGAAGAUGAAUUAUCGUCACCUGAAAUUGAACAAGACGAAAGUAAUGAUGACACUGAAUCAUCAACAACAAGUACUAGUACAUCAGCUACUAGUAGUAGUGGUAGUAGUCAAUCAGGUUCAGAUUCUGAAAGUACUAGUACUGCCGAUGAAGAUGAAACUAUAUCACUAAAAACUGAAACAGCUUUAGCCAAUAAAACUGAACUUGUUUUACCAGUUGGGAUGUGUGAAGAUGAAGAAGUGUUCAAACAAUUAUUUUCUGUUAAUUCUUGGGUGUGCCUAAGUGAUCAGCAAAAACAACAUUUAAAGGUAUAUAAUUACAUUUCUACAAAUAAUAAUUUUAUAAACAAUUAAUGAUUAAACAGAUAUUCAAAAAAUCUGAAUAAAAUUUUAUAAAAUGUGGAAUAAGUAACCAUUAUUAUUUAGUCUGUCUCAGAUUUUGUAAUAAUUUAAUGCAAUUUUUUUAUUUAUGUAGAAUUUUCUUCCCACAUUUCCUGAAAAUGAUUUAAUGGAAAAGGAAAUUACUUUAAGGAUGCUUUUUGGUGGACAGAAUUUUCGUUUUGGAGUUAAUCCAAUUAAUGAUUUUCAUGAAAAAUUAAGAAAUGGACAUUUUCGUCCUGAUAUUGUCAAAAUGAAAUCACUUUUACGACGAUCUCUCAAAAGAGAAUAUAGGUAAGUAUAUUUUAAAUAUAAUUUUCCUUUAAAAUUGAAACUAAUAAUUACCAUUUUUUUGUAUUUUAGAAAAAAUCAACGUAUAUAUAGUUAUAAUAUAUUAAAAAAAAUUUUGUCUGGUCGAAAAAAAAUUAUUGAUGAUUUAAAUGGUUUUACAAAUACAUCUGUGACAAAUAAUAUUGGAGGUAUUCAGAGUUUCACUAUGCACCAACAAGUUAAAAGAAGAUAUUUUAGAGAACUUUCUGAUAUUAAACAUCUAAUAGGAGACAAUUCGGAAGAUAGUUCUGAUAGCAUUUAUCAAGGUUUGAAACUGUUCCAAGUUUUGUUUAUUCAUUUUCAUUAAUAAUUUAUAUUUGUUCUAUUUAGAAGGCCCUCCUCCUCGUUUAAGUAAAAAACAACGUCGCCAUUUAAGUGCUGUACAAAAUUCUCUUGCACCUGAUCUAGAAACUAUCACUUCUACAAUGGCAACUUAUCCAGAUGCUAUUGAUUUAUCUAAAGUUGCUUUACCAAUGAGUAAUCCAUUUGAUCCUACCGAGGAUAUGUAUAGAGAAAUGUUAAUAUCCCAUAAAAAAAAACAAAAGUACACUGAACAAGUAUGUUUUUUUUAUAUACUAUAUUAUGUAGUACUAAAUUUAUAAUUAUUUAAAACAAUUUUUUUUUUUUAAGGAACAAGAACAAAUCAGAUUUGAUUUAGUAAAAGAAUAUAAUAGGCCAACAGUAUUAUUGGGAGCUGAGAAAAAAAGGUCAGCGUUAAAUGACCGACCCCGGGUGAAGCGAACAAAACCUAUUAAACAACAAUCACAAUCCAUAACGCCCAUACAAAUAGAUGUAAAACCUCCUGUAUUGUUAGAUGAAUUCCAUAAUACUCCAAUUAAGCAAGAACAGGUUGAAUCAGAACCGAGUAGUAUUAGUAGUAUUUUAUAUGUUAAAGAAGAGGUUGUCUCUUCAUCUUCACCUUCACCACCAUCUCCACCAGUUUCACCACCUAUUACAAUAGCUUCACCAAAAUUAGUAACACCUAUAUCUGAUUUUAUUGAGGAAGAAUCAAUUAAAACUAAUUUGAAUGCCAUACAAUUAGACUCUUGUUUACCUAUUACUACUGAUUUAGUAAAAAUUGAAAAGGAUAUAAUACAAGAUAUUCCUAUUAAGAUGGAACCAAUAAGUUUAACAGCUGAUGAAAUACGUAAAGCAGAAGAAGGUCAGGUUGCAGCUAUGUUGUUAGAACAAAUGAGUAAUGUUGAACAAAAAUACAACACACCUUUAACACCAUCACCACCGCCACCACCGCCACCAUUACCUCUACCUCCGUCACCAGCAUUACCACUUGAAAACAUUUCAGAAUCUAAGUUUAGUCCACCUACCUAUCUCGUUAAAAGAGAGUUUCAUCCAGAAGAUAUGUUAACUAGUACGGUGCACUCUAUUAAUACUGAGUAAGUAUUAAUUUGUUUUAUUUUAAAUAUUUUUUUUCAAUAGCUAGUUAUUAUUUUAUUACAUAAUUUUAUUUAACAAAUAAUAUAAUUCUAAGAGUCGGACAAAACUUUUGGACUAGUUUACAGAAUUUUUUACUGUAUAAUUUAUAAAAUAAUACAUAGAAAUAGGUUAAGCUGUCAAGAAAUUGCUUUUCUAGUAGUGUGUAGAUUCAAAAAUUUAAAAUUAUUCAGUGAUAAUACUAUACUUAAUUUAGUCUAAGAUAAUUAUUGUAAUAAAAGUUUUAUUUCAAUUAGGUCUCCACCAAGGAUGUUGCAGUCAUGUUUACAUUCUCCAAAUAUGAAUAAUUACAGUUCUAAACAUUUAUCAUUAUCACCGGUAACUACUCCUAGUAAAGUAAUCACAGAUUCAAAUUAUGUUGGAUCACUGUCAGAGUUAGAAGGUUUCCAUGUAUUAGACAUUAAAGUUGACAGUACUGAGGAUUUAAAUAUGAAGUAAGUUACAUUUUAUAAUACAGUAUUUUUAAACUCCUUAAUCAAUUUUCCUAAUUUGUUGUAUAUAAUUUCAGACGUCAACUAAAAACAAAAAAGGUGGCUGUUAGUUUUUUUGUACUUAUAAGAGAUAUAAUCUGUUCUACCUGGGAACAUCGUAUGAAUAUGACCGCACUAUUGAAUAGUGUCCAAGAAUGGGUGAAGUCAACAUCAAAAAAUCAUCAGAAAAAUCCAGAUUGGUAUCAUUGUUUAGCAUUAAAAACUUGGCCUAAAGCCUUGCUAUCAGCUAUAGGCUUUUUAGCUGGGCAUUUUCCUGGUAAUUUGAGUAUUUUGUAUAUGUUAAAUGUUAUUUAUUUAACAUAUAGAAAUGUUUUCUUUAGAGUGGCAGCCGGAAGAUUUUGUUCCAUUUAUUGAAUAUAAACCUAAUUUAGAUACAUAUCAGUGGAUUGGCGCUGGUAGAGAUUCGGAUACUAGACUUGGAGAUUUAUGCAAAUGUUGGCUGUAUAAUUUGAAUAACAUGAGUUCAAAAGUAAAAGUUAUUAAAGAUGAAGUGAUUAGUAUUAAUACGUCUCCAAUACCAUCUACUACAAAUAUUAUUUCAUCAAUUGAAGUAUCAGAAACUGAUUCACCUACUUCUUUAUCAAUACCAUUAUUAGAUACAUGGAUAGUAACACCUUCCAAUACUGAAGAACGUUUAAUUUUCCAAGAACAAGUAUGUUUUAAUAUAAAUAAUAUUUAAAAUUAUAAGUACAAUUUUGAAUUAACAUUUAGGAAAGACAAAGAUUUUUAAAACCACAUCGCUCCUUUAUUUAUCGAAUGCACGGUUAUGAGUCAAUUGUGGGUCCUGUACGUGGUAUUUACAAUUCAUCAAAUAUACAUAAAGCGGCUCGUGGUCAUUCUUUGUUAAUUGAAAAUAGACCUCAUUUUAUAUCAAUUUUGGUAUUGGGUAAGUUAUAACUUAUGCUGUUUAUGCUGUAAGAGAUAAAAAAAUACAUAAUUCAAUUUAUAAACGAGCUCAUACUACUGAUGGGUGUGCUACUGUUGUAGGUAGGAAGUUGGGAAGGUAAGGAAUGUAAAAGUUCGAAAUGUACAAAUUUAGAAUUCUGAGUUUUACAGAUAUCAAAAUCUGAACUGUACAAAUCUAAAAAGAAUUUUUUUUUAAAUUUGACUAAAUUUUAGUCAUUGGUAGUUAAAAGCAUAGAGUAGCUCUUUAUGGGUUAAGGAAAUUGAUAAUUGUUAUCAACUGCCUUAAACUAUUAUAACUAAUUUAGUUGAAAUUUAAAAAUUUUACUCUAUAUAUAAGUGGUUAAACCCCGGAUUUUAGAUUUGUACAUUCUUUGUAUGUACAUUUCUGAUUUUUAUAGUUAUUUUAAGAUACAUAAAACUUAAUUUCUAUUUGAAUCCAACAAAAUCAUUUAAGAUUAAUUAUAAUUCUGAGUGAAGUUUGGUUAAACAUAUUUAGAAAUGCUGUGACUUUUAAAAUUUUGUCAAAUUUUGAAAUUAAAAUGUUCAUAAAAAAAAAAUUACAUUCAACUUUUUUUCUUGGUGUAACAUAACUAAUGGUGAAUCUUGUAUUAAAUUUUUUAACAUAUGAAAGCAUUAGUGGAAUAACUAGACAGCUCCAUUUUUUUUUCAAAAGUGAUAUUUUUAUAUACUUAUUUUAAUAAAAAAAAUAAUUUGUUGUUAUUUAUAUGUAAUAACACCAGUUAGAUCCGAUUAUUAUUACAGCAGUUAUUAUAAUGCAAAAGGAGCUAUUUGAUUGUCUGUGUUCUGAGGAAAAAUAGGACAGCUCUGAAGUUACUUUGUUUUUGCACCGAAUAAUGGUAAUACUGAAUAAUAUUAUUAUAUCAGCGGUAUCACAUACAAAAAAUGUUUUGAUAAUAGGAUAUUAUGUAAAGUUACAUGAUUUUUUUUUUUAAUAAAAGGUACUAUAUAUGUACAAUUUUUUCUGAUUUAUUAACAUUUAUAGUUACUCUUGUUACUAAUUCUUAAAUGUUUUUUCAUUCAAUUUUUCAUGUUUAUACUUAUAAAUAUGUAAGUUAUGACUUAAAAUACAAAAUGUAAACAAAACACAUGUAAAAAUUAGACAGCAAAAAAACAAAAAAAAAAUACAACUUAAAUUUUUAAAAGAUUUAAUUUCAUAUUAACUUGUAAGUAUCCUCAUUAACAACAAUUUCCAAAAUUCAAAAUAAAAUUGUCACGUUUGUAUAUUUUUUAAUUAAAAAAAAUUCUCUCCUGUAAAAUUUGAAAAAAAAGGAGAUCUCUGAUCAUUCCAUUGAUGCCUUUAAUCGGCUUGGACAAAAAAAUCCAUUGACAUAAAUCAAAAUAAAAAUUAUGUAAUUAUUAUAAAUCAUUUUCAUAAUAUUGUAUAUAUUAAUUGUACUUAUUGUAAAUUGGGCAUAAAGCUCACAUUAUGUUAUAAUUAGUUAAAUAGUACAAAAUGGUGCAAUUUUUAUGGUUUCCAUUGAAAUUUGAAUAUUAAACAAAUACUAUAUUAUAUAAUCUUUGUAUAAUAGUGUAAAUUUUUAAGAAAUUUUGAUCUUUUCAAAUAAUUUUACCCUCAUAAGAUAAAUAAUAACUAAAAAUAACUUGAAUAUGUCAAUGUCAGCAUGAUUAUAAUUAAUUCAAAAAUGUCUAAAAUAUUUUGAAAAUUUUACCAUGUUUAGAAAAUGCUAAUAUAAAGUGAAAAUUAAAGGUCUCUAUAAUUAUUUUUAAUCUAAUUACAACAAGAAAAUAAAACUGAAAAUAAUGAAUAUGUUAAUGCAGUAAACUUUCGUAAAGAAAACUGCUCAGGUAAAUAAUUAACAACUUUUUUACUCACCAAUCAGACAAAAUUUUCUUUCAAAAAAGAUGCUACUCUUGAAAUUUUGUAAAUAUAUAUUUUUUUAAUUAUAAAAUAUAUAAAAGUACUUAAUUUAGAAUAUAAAAAUCAAUAGUUAUUUUAAAUUUUAUUUUUUCAGUACGUGAUGCAACAGCUAGAUUACCUAAUGGAAUGGGAACUCGUAGUGAUAUUUGUACCUUACUUAAAGAUUCACAAUAUUUAAUGGAUGCAAACCAAACUGAAUUACACAAUGCAGUCAGUGGAGCUUUGGAUAGAUUACAUUAUGAAUAUGAUCCAUGUGUUAAGUAUGAUCCAAAACGUAAAAUAUGGAUUUACCUACAUAGAGGACGCUCGUUAGAAGAAUUUGGUACGUAUAUCAUUAUCAUAUAUUAUUAUAAAUUUAUAACUAAUUGAGGAGGGUCUUCAAUACAAAACUCAUUUUUUUCAUUUUUUUCAUAGACAAAAUGUGAUUUUUUCUUUGAUGCAAAAUAUUAUUUUUCCAUUUCAUUUCAAAUAAAUCUUUUUAAUGUAAUUGUACCUUACAUAGUAAUUCAUUGCAAAAUGGACUAUUUCUUAUAUUAUAUAGUCUAUUUCUAUUAUAAAACAAAAUGCUCCUUCUUUUCCUUUACAUCUAAUAUGUCUGAUUAAAUUAUUAUUUUUAUAUUAUUAAGAAAAUAUUUUCAUAAAUUAUGAUAUGAUAACUUCAAAUUAUGAUGUCUUUAGAUAAAGUUCAUUGUGCUAGUUUUCGAGAUUUAUCUGAAAAUGAUUAGAAUUUGGUUUGACAUUUCUGUAAUGCUGCCUAGACCCAUAGUAAUUUAGUGCACACAAAAUAAACUAAUCGAGGGUUAAUUUUCAAUUAAUUUCCUCUAAUCCCUUCCUUUUUAUCUGGGGCCAAAUAGACAAAGCAAUUUGACUUUUAAAAAUAAUAGUAUUUGGUAUUUAAAUAUAGGUAUAGAAUUUAUGCUUAAAAAACCAUAAACAAAAUGUAUGAUAUUUCAAAAACUUCACUUAUAGUUAAUUUUCAUAGAGAAUUUUUUUUCUCAACUAAAUAAGCUUUAUCUAAAAACAUCAUAAUUUUUAGUUUUCAAAGUUAUUGGAAUUGAGCCAGAAUUAUAUUUAUUCUACGCAUUAAAUUAAAAUUUGUUUAAAAUGUACUAGUCGAUUCUAACUUCAUACCAAUGUAAGAUAUUGGACUAUAUAGAUCAGUGUAUCUUAAACUUUGAUUUGUGGAAACCUGGUAGUCCACGAAUAAUGAUUGUCCCCCAAAAAAACUGGCAGCAAAGGCAACAGUUACGGCAUGACAAUAUUAAGACUUCAAUAAUAAUGUUAUAACCACAUAUUAUAAUAUUCUUAGUUAUUAUCAAUUUUGACUGUCUGUUGUCAUGUACGUGUUUAAUCAUUUAUUAUAACAAUAUUAAAACUGAUAUGAGUAAACAAAAUAAGUUAUAUUUUUUAUAUUUUAGGAGUUCUGCAUAAAAAAAAUAUUGUUUGGUGUUCUAAAAUCUCAAAAAGUUUAAAAAACACUGUUAUAAAUACUAUAAUACUAUAUCCAAAUAAAAUCUUAUUAAUUAUGCUAAUUUUCAAUUUUCUUAUUCUGUCAGUGAAAAAUUUAUCCACCAGAUAUCUUGCAGUAAUAAUUAAAAUUAGUUAUGAUUUUUAGUAACAAAUUUUGUCUAGUUAAUGCCUUGAGGAAGUGAUUUUCUUGUAGUUAACUUAAAAAUUGGAGAAAAUGUACACCUUAACGGUUUCUGUUUUCAUUAUUACUUUUUUGCAAUUUGGUUAAAAAUAACUGUAGAGAUAAUUUUUGUAUUGAAUACUUUUAUUAAUAUUUAAACUUGGUACAAUUUUCUUAAUAUACCUAAUGGUUAUUUUUGAGCUGUUCAGUUUUUUAAAAUUUUUAAAGGUUUUAUUUGGUUUUCUGGAUACAAUUAUUGUGGCCUAGCAAAUAUUCUCUAUGAAAAUCUUAAAAAAUCCCACCAUUUUUAAAUAUAUUGAGCUAACACAACAUACUUAUUCUGUAAAAGGACCAUUUUACAUAAAACAACUUUUUACAAUCUCAAAAAGAGCAAUAAAGGACUUAAACUGGAAAGUAAUUUUUUUUUAAAAACCUUAAAGUAUGGUAUAUACACCAAUUAAAAAUAAUCAAAACAGAAAACCUGCUCUUCUGAAAAUUGAGAAAAGUAUGUUUUGCAUUGAAUAUCCUCAAUGAUUAUAAAUUUAAUUAUCAAUAUUUUUAUACUAUGUUAUAGAACGGUUGCAUUUGGAACAACAAGGUGCAGUUAAGAUAAAAAGCUGGCGUAGAAACAAAACUCCCAAAAAAUCACCGGAGCCUAAACGUGCACCAAACAAAAAACUAAAAUCCAAUGCCCUUCUCGAAUCAUUUUCAAUGCUAGAUUUACCUACAAGUUCGACAUCAGAUUCUAUGCCAAGUUCAAGCACUUCGCCUGUCUUACCUGAUAUAAAUAUGCGUUUAACUCAGGAAAUUACGAGUAUAGAUAGUUUAAAACAAACUGUAAAACCAUCUCGGUGUUCUAAAAAUAAAAAAAUGCCAAUACAGGCUAUGCAAACAACCGAUAAUGCAGUUGAGCUAAACAUAAAAUGUCCUCCAGUUAUUGAUCAAAAUAGUACUGAAGCUUCCAAAAUGUUUGCCAUGCCUGUGUCCAACAAUAUUUCAACAGUUACACCUAAUAUUAGCUCAAUUAUCAGUACCAGUACCAUGACUAAUCAAUCAAUCACUACUAACAAUAGAAGCCAAUCAGUUGCUAAUAUAAAUCAAUCAAUCACCUGUAACACGAGUAAACCAAUUUCUAGUACCUUUAUUAAUCAGUCAAUUGCUAGUAACAUUAAUACUGGUCAACCAAUUGUUAGUAAUAUUACUAGUCAAUCAAUUACUAGUAACAUUACUAGUCAACAAAUUGCUAAUAAUAUUGCUGGUCAAUCAAUAUCUAAUAGUUUUGGCAGUCAAUUAAUUUCUAGUAAUAUUGGUCAAUCAAUUUCUAGUAAUUUUACUAGUCAAUUAAACAGCAAUAACAUUACUAGACAAUCAUUUGCUAAUAACAUUAUAAAUAAAUCUAUGGCCAGUUCAAGUCUAAAAGUUAACACUCAAACUGUUGCCAAUAGUGGACAGAUGAUCAACAUUGCACAAACUAAAAAUAGCAAUAAUCAAACUCUUGUUGGUAACAAUAAAAUGGUUGUAAACAGCAUUAGCUCAAAUGUAUGUAAUUUUAAUGAUAAACAAGUACUUUCAUCUGGAGAUUUGAUAACAAUUGGUGCUAGAAAGAAAACAAAAAACGUUCAAAUUGCUCAACCAGUUAACAUCGGACAGCCAUCUGGUAUGUUGUAUUUGUAUUUUUAAUUAAAAAAUUUUUUUUAUAUUAUCAAUUUUAUCAUUUAUUUGUAUUUUAGGACCUCUAAAUUUCCAACAAGAUCAUCAUACUAUUACUAAAUCGCCUUGUAACAAAGAACCACAACAACGGCAAAUAUUAGUGUUGCAACAAAAGCGAUCUGAUCAUUCUAUUUCUAGUUCUGAACAAAAUACAACAGCUCUUAGUCAUAAUGAACCACAAUCUAUUCAUCAUCUUCUUCAACUGCAACAGCGACAUAAGUUACAAAAACAACAAGAAAUGCAACUGAAACUCUUGCAACGUAAACAAAUACAGCAGCAAACUUUGCAGCAAAACAAACAACAAGUCAUUAUAAGGAAAUCAGAUGUUGAGGAAAAAAUAGAAACUGGUGAUAGUGAACAUCCUCAAGUUAUAUUUGUAAAACAGGGUCCAAGAGGAGUUCAAACAGAGACACAACAAAUAACACAACAUCAAUUGCAACAAAUAUUAAUGAUGAGGCCACAGCAACAGAUAGGACAACAACCACAGGUUGUUAUGGUUAAACAACCGGGAAAUGAACAAAAAUCAAUUGCACUCAAGGUUUGUAUACCUAUAAUAAAUUAAUCUUGAACAUAAUUAAAUAAGUUUUCUGAAUUGAUUCUGAAGAAUAAGUAUUAAUUGUCUUCUUUUUUUCUUUUUUUUUUUUUUAACAAUGUAUGAUUUAGGAGCUAGAGUUAUAACAUAAACAAGGUUGUGAUUUGAUAUUCUAGUCAAUGUAACUUACAUUGAAAAAUAUUUAAACAAACAUAACACAUUUUUUAGUUAAAAAAAUAAAACAAGUAGAUUACAUAAAAUAUUAUUUUAUACUAUUUGUGAACAUAUUAAUUGUAAUAAAAAAUGUAUUUUUAGUAUUUUAUUUGUCAAUAUUGGAAUCGGUAAAUAAAAUAUAUGAUUGCUUAUAGUUCAUUAUUAUUAAAAAUUUUGACUAUAUAUUUUUAAUACCUAUAAAAUUAUAGUAUUGCAUUAUUUAUAUUCUAGCCAAUACUGACAUCACUUCGUGGUACGCAAAUUCAACCAAAUUCACCAAAUUCUACUAAUUUGUUGUUACAAACAAAACAAACUGGUCAAAAUGUACAACGAAGAAUUACCAAACCAAUUGUUGGCAAGCUCAUGACUAAUCAAAGAACUCAGUUACCAGUUGACACUGUUCUUACAAAUAGAAAAUUACCUGUUGUUUCUCAAGGUUGGUGAUUUAAGAAUUGUUGUCAAUUUAUAAUUUUAAUUGUAUUUAUUAUUUAGGAACAUCAUUACGAAUUUCUGGUGUACAAACAUCAAAGAGUGGUCAACCACAGUAUACAGUUGUUACUGUUGCUCAACCAAAACUUAUGCCAUCAAAUCAAUUAAAUAUUGGACAGGUAAUUAUGGUAAAUUCCUUUUAAACUUAUAUAAAUACCUUUAUUUUUAUAGCAAACACCUUCUCGUUUAUCGGCUAUAAAUGAUCGUUUAAAAUCUAGUGAAACCAACCAACCACAAACUCUACGUGUAGUUCAGUCACAAAUUGCCGGAAAACCUUUAUUAGUGACAAACAAAGUAAGUUAAUAUAGAGUUCUCUAAAAGUAUUGUUAAGUAUAAUUAAUGUUCAUAGGCACAAAUUUCAUCUGGUCAUACUGGUAUAUCAACAUCUCCUAACAUAGUAUCAUCAACUGUAGUGAAUUCUACAGCUAACACUUACACUGUACUGCAACAAGGCUCUCAGCAAAUACUUGUACCGGCAAAUUCGUUAAAGUCUAUUCAAGGUUUAAAAGUUAUACCACUAUCGCAACAUAGCGUUAAAGGUUUGUCAGGUUAUUCUUUUACUUGUAUUAGUUUGCAUAUUUUUGAAGUUAAAAAUGCAUUAUAGGACGUUCUCAAAUGUAUGCUCGAAUUGUAAAUCCUGAUAAUGUGAGGCCUGUGUUCAUUCAACAACCACCCAAUCAAGAUAGUAACCCAGGACCGAGUGAAUCAAAUACUUAACCCCUGAGAUAUUAGUUCCUUAUUUAUUAUUAUUUAUAUUUAUACAGUAUAUACGGUCGUUAUGCAAUUGUAAUGACUUAACUUUAUAAACCAUAAGGUUUAAUAUAACUCAAGUCUACAUAAUGUGUGUAGUCUGAUCGUUACCUACUUUUUUGUUUUAUAUUUAUAUCCUUUUUAUUUGCUUCAAUAAACUUUACUGAGAGGAUUUAUUGUUGUUUAAAGACUUGUAUAGUUAAGGAAUAUUAAGUUUUGUAAAAUAUUAGGACUUUUUCUGUUAUCUGUCACUGUUUUUCAAAAUAAUAUUUCUUAUUUUUUUACUAUUUAAAAACAUAUACAAACUUUCUUCUAUUUUAAAAAGAAUUAUAGACUUGAGUGAAAAAACAUAUAAUACACUAUUUAAUAAUAAGUAGUACAGAUAAACAAAGGGACAUUUUUUUUUAAGAUGCGAGGACACCAAAGAUUGAAUAUUUCUUCAACAGUGGGUGUAAGAUAUGCAUUUGCCAUUCUUCUAGCAAAUGAUUUCUGUUAGUUUUUCAUCUCAGAAUAAUUUUCAAUUAUUUUAACUUAAACAAAUUAAGUAUGCACAUCGAGUGAUUAGAAAUAUAUCUAAAGAAUGCCUCACUUGUAUCCUACUUAUAUUGAAAUAUAUUAACACAUUAAAAGGAUACUUAAUAUUUAAGGGGUUGUUUAUAGAAAAUUAAAUAAUUUUGCUAAACAUUUUCGAAAAAUUAAAAUUUAUUACCUGAAAAAUAUUCAAAUUUACUUUCAAAUACUUUAAUAUAAAUGUAUUUUUUACUGUUUAUGUUUUACUGUGUAAUCUUCAAAACCAUGUUAACUUUAAACAGAAAACAGUACCCUUCAAGUGAUUUUAGGGUUUUUUAAGAUAAAAAUUGUCUUUAUUGUUGAUUGAUAAUAUAUUGAUUUUCAAUUAACUUGAAUGUGAAAGUAGAUAUUCAAGAAUAAAAAAUUCCUUAGAUUAAGUGGUGCUCUUUAAUAUUUUCAAGUUCAAAAACACAUGCCAACAUCCUCUUCACAUAUUUAACAAUCAUUUCCUGAUCUUUGUUUAUCUGUCAAUGUGUCAUCAAACAAUAUAUUAUAAAACCAAAAUGGAUGUAUAUAGAAAUACUAUAUUUAAUAAUAUAAUUAAUCUAAUAUAAAUUUUUUACUAUAAUUAAAUAGGCACUUACAUGAGGUUAUUUAGAGACGUCAAUCGAAAAGUUCAUUUAUCUUAAAGAAUAUUAAAUAAAUGGAAUUUUACACACUCAAAUUAAUUUUAUACUAUUUAGGUACCCAACAUUUUGGUUUUUUAUUCUAGAAUAAUAAAUAUUAAAAUAGAAGAAUUUAAAUUAUCUGUGUAAUACAUGUUUUUAGAUAGUUAAAGAAUAAUAAAAAAAAAUAAAAAAAUAUUUUAAUAUUUUUUUACAUCUAUACCUGUUUUAACCAACGUGUUUAUAAAAAUAAAUGUUUGAAUAAUAAUUAUAGCAUAUAAACUAAUUUUAUACCAUGCAUUUUUAAAUUUUAUUUUAAGGUUAUUUUUAUUUGAUUUAAAG